rnacentral:tRNA from 1 species
GGGGAUAUAGCUCAGUUGAUAGAGUGCCUGCCUAGCAUGCACAAGGCCCUGGGUUCAAAUCCCGGCACCA